rnacentral:tRNA from 1 species
UAGCUCAGAUGGUAGAGCAAGGCACUUGCAAUGCUAGGAUACUGGGUUCAAUUCCUGG